GGUAGGAAUACCCGCUGAACUUAAGCAUAUCAAUAA
rnacentral:rRNA from 1 species